GAGAAACUGAAAAUAUAAAUAAGAACCAAAAUGUAUAAUAGAUAUUGGGAAAUAAAAAAAUGUUCAAAUAAGAAGGAGAACAAAGGAGGGGAAGGGAAAAAAAAAGAACCAAGAGACUCAUGUAAUGGUACAAGAUCCCAAUGAUGAAUGUAAUUGUAUUGUAUACCUAAAAUGUACCAAUAAAGUUAAUGGGGGGGAGGGGGAAGAAAUCUGUAUUUAGUCAAAUACCAUUUCCUUCUGGAACAUUAUUUUAAGUCUCUAAAGCCUGAAUUCUGGCCUGAAUUUCUUGUGACUCCAUUUCAUGUAGAACCAUUGGAUGCAAUAUCUUGUCUUGCAAUAGAGCUCUCCUUAAAUGAGCACUUCUUGUCCAUACAGCCUCCUCCUAAUGCACUGGCAGCACAGCUUCAGUGAUUUUAUCUCAUGAAUUCUUCACCCAAGUCAUGACCUCUCUCAGGCUAAGCUUCACGAAGUUUCCACUAAGUUAAGCAUUAAUUGAAGACUUACAAGACAGGAGUGGCAACAAAAAAUGACAGGAUCCUAGGACCAUCAUGGCAAAUGACUGCUGGUGCAAGUUCCUUGGGACAUCUGUCAUGGCAAGCACACACGAGUGUGACCUCAAGGACAGCCUCACUUCCUGGAAAUUGCUCCUGGGAAUAUCCUGAUGGUCCUUCUGGCUCAGCCCUCCUCUCCGGAUGCUAUCACCAGCUCUACCCAGCAGCUGCUCCCUUCCCCAGCCACUCAAGCGCUUGGUGUCUGUGUGCCAUUUGCCCCACUUUCCCAUCUGCCUAUGUGGUUCUGGAUGUUUGUAGUGACAACUCCUGGUAG
rnacentral:lncRNA from 1 species